rnacentral:rRNA from 1 species
UCUUUCGGGAAUUUGAGAGCGGCGUACGGGUGGGAACACGUGUGCAACCUGCCUUUAUCUGGGGGAUAGCCUUUCGAAAGGAAGAUUAAUACCCCAUAAUAUAUUGAGUGGCAUCACUUAAUAUUGAAAACUCCGGUGGAUAGAGAUGGGCACGCGCAAGAUUAGAUAGUUGGUGGGGUAACGGCCUACCAAGUCAGUGAUCUUUAGGGGGCCUGAGAGGGUGAUCCCCCACACUGGUACUGAGACACGGACCAGACUCCUACGGGAGGCAGCAGUGAGGAAUAUUGGACAAUGGGUGAGAGCCUGAUCCAGCCAUCCCGCGUGAAGGACGACGGCCCUAUGGGUUGUAAACUUCUUUUGUAUAGGGAUAAACCUAGAUACGUGUAUCUAGCUGAAGGUACUAUACGAAUAAGCACCGGCUAACUCCGUGCCAGCAGCCGCGGUAAUACGGAGGGUGCAAGCGUUAUCCGGAUUUAUUGGGUUUAAAGGGUCCGUAGGCGGAUCAGUAAGUCAGUGGUGAAAUCUCAUAGCUUAACUAUGAAACUGCCAUUGAUACUGCUGGUCUUGAGUAAGGUAGAAGUAGCUGGAAUAAGUAGUGUAGCGGUGAAAUGCAUAGAUAUUACUUAGAACACCAAUUGCGAAGGCAGGUUACUAUGUCUUAACUGACGCUGAUGGACGAAAGCGUGGGGAGCGAACAGGAUUAGAUACCCUGGUAGUCCACGCUGUAAACGAUGCUAACUCGUUUUUGGGUUUUCGGAUUCAGAGACUAAGCGAAAGUGAUAAGUUAGCCACCUGGGGAGUACGAACGCAAGUUUGAAACUCAAAGGAAUUGACGGGGGCCCGCACAAGCGGUGGAUUAUGUGGUUUAAUUCGAUGAUACGCGAGGAACCUUACCAAGGCUUAAAUGGGAAUUGAUCGGUUUAGAAAUAGACCUUCCUUCGGGCAAUUUUCAAGGUGCUGCAUGGUUGUCGUCAGCUCGUGCCGUGAGGUGUUAGGUUAAGUCCUGCAACGAGCGCAACCCCUGUCACUAGUUGCUACCAUUAAGUUGAGGACUCUAGUGAGACUGCCUACGCAAGUAGAGAGGAAGGUGGGGAUGACGUCAAAUCAUCACGGCCCUUACGCCUUGGGCCACACACGUAAUACAAUGGCCGGUACAGAGGGCAGCUACACAGCGAUGUGAUGCAAAUCUCGAAAGCCGGUCUCAGUUCGGAUUGGAGUCUGCAACUCGACUCUAUGAAGCUGGAAUCGCUAGUAAUCGCGCAUCAGCCAUGGCGCGGUGAAUACGUUCCCGGGCCUUGUACACCCCCCCCGUCAAGCCAUGGAAGUCUGGGGUACCUGAAGUCGGUGACCGUAAAAGGA